UUUAAUAUUAGUAUUAUUAGGAUUUUUAUCCUUUUAUUAUUUUUAUUAAUUAGUUGGGCAAUAGGCCCAUUAGAUUAGAAAACCCUAAUUUGACUAAGAUAAAUAGGGUGCUUUUUUUGUCAAUUAGGGGAGGCCAAUUUUCAUUCACCAGACAUUUGUACAUACACACAAAAGAAGCCACGAAUCCUAAUACUUUGUCUCCCUCGUGAAAAACUCUACAGUGGAAACACCAACAAUUGUUACCACCAUUAACAACCUCUAUCAACUAUAUUCUUCCCCAUUUUCCUUCAAUUCUACUACCAUAAAAUUCCAAAACAAAAAAAAAACAACAGCAAGCUAAAGGAACCAAGGGAACAACCAUUACCGAAUCAAAAAAACAACAAGAAGAAAAGUGGCGGUCGGGCAUCUUCAUCAACCUGGAACCAUUCGCACCUCACUUUCAUCAACCUCACAACCACAGGAGAAACUGAAAAAACUAGUAACAAUAAAAAAAAGCAGAACAACAAAGACGACACAGAAGUUUUGGAUCCAAACUCGUCCGCCACGAGAAGCAACCCAAACGCGAUUCACCCUACGGCGUCGGAGUCCGAACACACCAACCUGUGUCUACGAUGAAAGGCGACCACACGAUGUCCUCAGCUUUUCACCACUUGAUUCGCACACUUCCGAUUUCUCCACCGGUAACCUUGAUCUUCUCUUGAUCUAUUAUUUGUUUUAAAUCAAGUAUUGUUUUGCGAAUAGGAGUAGGAUAAAGAACGAAGGAAUCGAUGGCAAGGGAGAAGAAGGUCUAGCAUGUGUGUUGAUUUUGACUGGAAGUUGCGAUUGAAAGCGAAAGAAAGGGAAUAUGUAUGGUACGGUUUCUGGAUAUUGACCUUUCUUUUUUUUCCUUUUACAUAUUCGAUAUCAUUAUAUUUUUUAUUUUUUUUGUAAAAUAAGUAAAAUUUGAAAGUAGUUUGGAUUAGGUCCACUCCUGUAUUAACGUUCCAUGCCUUCCGCAAUUCUAACUAGUUUUUUUUUAUUCAUUUAUUUCAUUGUUAUUACUAACUUCUUAACAGCAAAAGAACACACACUCUUUUAUUAACUCAUUCACAAAAGCCAAAUUCCAUGGAUACAGAGGGGAAACAAAUGCAAGUUGUUUACCAAGUAAAACACUGCCUCGGCCAAACGUAAAAUAUCAACUGGCAGUCUAGGUCGUCUAGAAAUUUGAUCAAACGUUAAAGCAGUGCUAAUUUGGUUUUAAAUAAGGUUUGUGUCUUAUUAAUUUAUUUAUCAUUUUAUUUUAUUUAUAUAGGUUAGCUCCUUAUGUUAUUCUUAGUUAAACUAUUUUAUUUAGGUUAAUUUAGAGAAUUAAGUGUGAUUAAUUUAUUUUGAUAAUCUUUUCCGUCAUUUAGUUUUCAUGAUUUAUUUGUAGUCAUGUUACUAACUUUAAGAAUAUAAAAAAGGUUUUACUCCAUUAAAAAACAAAUAUAAAAAAUAAUCAUUUUCUUUUUAGGUUAUAAUUAAACUAAUUUAUUUUUAUUAGGAUUAAGAUAUAAAAUUAGGAUUAGGUUAAUGAUUAGGGUUUUAGGAUUCAUUCUCCCGAUUAUUUCGAUUACUCGAUUUAAUUAAUUUGUUUUAACUAUUAAAUCAUAGAAACCCUAGAAAGGUUGCAUGCCUUAGGGUUUGCCCAAUCCCACUGCCCAUUUGGCAAAGAACAUUAAUCCUUUAUUUAAAUUCUCUCCUCGACCUGACUAAAUCUAUUAGUCGCAUUAGACGAGAGAUAAAAAUUAAUUAUAAAUCUAAAACACAUUCAAUUUGCUGCCCGCGACGAUCAAUCUAUCGAUCUGAGUAACCAGCAAUGCCCAUUAAUCUGUUAGCUAUACUGAUCAAAUCUAUUGAUCACCGCAUCUAACAGUGCCAUAUUAAAGCAGGGUUGUACGCCCAAAACCACAUCUAAAACACUAAACCACGAUACUACGGAUUUACAUCCUUUCAAACACUGCGAUGUUCACAACUACGAUAAGGUAAUUCAAAAUACCUUCGAACUUCGCAUUUCAAAACAACUUCAAACACCUCUAUAAUCAAAUUCAAUUCUAAGGCAUACAACCCUGUGCCCGAACUACGUUGACUCUGAUUCUCCAUAAGGAGAUACGUAGGCACUUGGCAACAAGGCGAGUCCCCCUCCCAAAAAUCUCAAUUUUCCCCUUCCUUCAAACCCUAAUCAUGUCAAUGAUUAAAAUUAUUAACCCUAUUCUGUUUGUCACUUUUCUUUAUAUUUUGCCACAAACCUUCAUCUUUGAAAUGUUAGCCUUUAGGAAAGGGUUGAGGGUGCCUAACACCUUCCCUCGACCUGAAUAUAGUAUCUUACCCAGAUCUCUCAACUACGUAAGGUUUCCUAUUCGCCUUGGUAGAAUAGGUGGCGACUCUCUAAGUUUAAAUUUUAGGCAGGUUGCUACAGCUGGCGACUCCGCUGGGGACUAGUGAUAACAAAAUUGUAAAUUAUUAUGCUCCUUUAGGUUUUGGUAGGGUUUAGGUUUUGGCGAGGUUUAGGUUUUGGCGAAGCAUUUAGGGUUUUGGCGAAUUUUCUAGGGAUUGGCUUAUUCGCCAUUUUAGGGUUUGUGGUUUUUUUAUAAAUAUCUAAAUUUUUAUUUAUUUAUUUAUUUAUUUAUUUAUUCGCAAUUUCAUUUAUUUACAGUGAUUUAAUUAAAUAUUUGUGUACUUGAAUAUUUGUUACUUUACUGCAUAUCUUGGGAUAUAUAAAUUGCAGUUAAACCUAAGUGUGGGAAUUAUAAUAAUGACCAGAGGGGAAUUACAUCGCCUACGAGUCUUAUUAUAAUUCCACUCAGAGUGGGUUGAAUAUCCGGAAAGGUCUGAUACGAGGCUCGACCUUGUUGAGGGCUGGACUUGGUAUUUGGCUGAUCUCUCUGGGAACCUACCCCUAAAACUCGAACCUCAUGGAUCAAUGAGUUGUUCCAAAAUCCAAAGAGACAAAAAGUCUCGGCGGCUACAAACGACCCCAUGAGACCUUCUAGAACAUACCAAUGGGAAGGGUAGGCACCCUAAGCCGUUACGUCGAACCUAUGAACCUAAGGCUUAUGUGCUUACGUGCUUAUUAUAUAUACUGCGAAUGCCUUGCAUUUUAAUUUUUGCAGGUACACCCACGCAUUCCCUGGCCUGCAGGGACUCAAUUUCUAAGACCAUGUCCUUCCCACGAAGGACACCUUCAUUUAUUCACGUUGAUUGGCCUCGUGAUGGCCAUGAGACUUAAUGACUGUCAUGAAUAGUCACCCCGCGCCUGCAUUUAUGCACUCCCUAGCCUGUAGGGAUUUUAUUUUCAUAUCUCCGUAUUCUUACAACUACGUGUCCUUCCCACGAAGGACAUUUUCGUUUACGCACGUCAAUUGGCCUCUCGAUGGCCAUGCGAUCUAGUGACUGUCUUGAACGGUCACUCCGUGCCUACGUCUAUGCAUUCCCUAGCCUAUAGGGAAUUCUAACUCUAAAAACGUGUCCUUCCCACAAAGGACAUCCUCGUUGGUACACGUUGAUUGGCCUCUCGAUGGCCAUGCGAUCUAGUGAUUGUCUCGAACGGUCACCCAGUGCUUACAACUACGUAUCCCCUAGCCUGUGGGUAUUCUAAAAAAAAUCACAUCCUUCGUUCGAAGGACAACUCCAUUAGCAUGCGCUCGAUUGACCUCUCGAUGGCUAUGAGAUAUAGUGACUGUCUUGAACGGUCACUCCAUGCCUGUUUCCACGCACCCUCUAACUUGUAGGGUUUGGAUUUCCAUCUAUAUAUCUUUCAUCCCUAGCCUGUAGGGACUUCACUUCAUCCAAUAUCGUCCUUAUAUAGGUUGUGUUCCGCAUAGAGAACCUCCCCACUAAGGACAACUUCACUGGUACACGUUGAUUGGCCUCUCGAUAGCCAUGAGACUUGGUGACUGUCUUGAACGGUCACCAACCGCUACCUUCUGCAUACUCCCUAAUCUAAGGGAUUUCCAUUGGCGUGUCGUAACAUCUAUCUUGCCAGGAUUUUGCUAGGGUCUAAUGUCGCCUCUAAGGCUAUCCCUCGGAGUAUACGUCACACGUCUGCAUUGCAUACACGGAGUUAUAAUACAAGGCGUCUCGCAUAUCCAUGCAUUUGCAUUGUCAUACAUUUGCAUUUACAUUUACAUCUUCGCCCGCACCCAUACUUACCAUGCUAGCCGAUUUCCCGAGACCCGUAAAGAAGACAAUCAAAGGAUCAUAAACUAUAGAGAAAGGAGGAUAAAAUAUCGAGAAUGAUCUUAGUCUUACUAAGGGAAUAAGGAUGCCUUUCACUAUGCCAGCCGCAUGUCCAUGCCCUAUCGUAACAGGAUCAUAAAUACCGUAAAGGUUGUCAUCGAGCAAGGAUUAGUUCAACAAAGAAGUUCCCUCAUAGAUACACUCAAGAGGUAGCUAGUCAUAAAGGGGUUCAUCUUAGAACAUAUCAAACUUACAAGGACGCUCUACGAUAACCUAGGGGCAAGGGUCAGUCCAACCAGGGCAAUACCCUGAACAAAGAUGCAUGACUACGAUGGAGGGAAUUCGACAAAUGUCAACCCCACACCAAGGGGAAAAAGGGUCAUAGGUGAUACUAUCCUUAGGGAAAGCAAAAGAGGUUCAGUCAAAGGAAACUCAUGAAGUUCCGAUACGACGAAAACCCACGAUUUAUUCCCAACAGGUUUGACAUGUCCAAGGAGAAUUCGAGAUUACCCUCACUUCUACAAGUCUAAAGAGAUAAGGAGUAAAACAAGAUAAAUGGAUCUACAAAGGAGAUUUUCCCUAGGAUCAAUAGGGGUUUAUCAUGCCCAAAAUUGCAACCUCUACGAUCGCUAAGUGUUACUCAAGAUAAAAAGCUGUACCUUCGGAAUAGCAAUUCUAAUGGGAUGACCAUGCAGGUUUUGGAGUCAAUUCAUUCACCCACUACCACGAGUUUUCACUCGUACACUUCUAUUCUAUUUCAAAUUUCAAAUCUAAGAGUAUUAACAAACUUGAGGGAGAAUGACGAAUACAAAUAACUAAGUCCAGCUAAACAUAUGCUUUCAAGGUAAGACCGAGCCGAGGAUGUACAGGCAUUGCUUCAAUUCCCAAACAGUGGAGAUAUAAGGAUGUUAAUCCCUCGUUACCCCCUCGAGCCAGGAGUUGGAGUUUGUUUCUAUUUUUCAAAAGAACCUUGAUUUUAACCAGGGGCAGGGUAGAUGUCAACUAAUUCAAUGAUGUAUUUUGGUUGCCAAGAGAAUCAGUCAAUCCAAGCAUAAGGUUCAAGCAUAUCUUCUUCCUCGCAUUCAUCCAAGAUUGAGGAAGCAAUGGAGGUAACAUUUACAACACCUUCUUCCUCAUUACAUCACUCAAGAUCGAGGAAGCAUCAAAGGUGAAGCUUACAAAUCAAAGUCAACAUAACAGUCACAACAUUCAAUAUCCAAGGAUCACAUUUCAAAAGGAGCUUUCAAAAGAAAAACGCCCGCUAAGUCAAAACGGAAAACUUCAUAAAAGAAAGAAAAAAUGACUUAGGCAAAAAUCAGGGCAUCCCGAUGGAUCAAACUCAAAAGAAUUGGUUCAUGCAAAAAUAAGGGAUAAAAACAAAGGCUAAAUACAAUGGAUAAUCUGGUGACUGCUAAAUCAUCAAAGCUUCGCAUCCAUGCUUGGAUCUUCACAAUAUUUUCAUCAAUGCUUGGAUCUCUAUUAAGGCUUCUGCUCAACAUCGAAACUGAAAUGAUUAUCUUGCAAACAAAGCACAUCCAUUGGAUUAGUAGAAUUUUUAGGAUCUGGAGAACAUCAAGGAGAAAGGGGUGGGAUAAAUUAAAUUUUGAGCCUUAUAUCCAUUGUUUCUUAAAACAUGAACCAGGCCAAGUUACAACAUUCAAAAGUCCUAAUUGAGGCAAGGUUAACCAUGAAAGCAUAUUAAGCAGGAUUUGUUAUACUGACUCCUAAAAGUUUGUUAAAACUACUUCUAAUCACUACGUUUCUUCAAGCAUUCACUUAUAACCAUCCAGUCCUAAUUCAUAACGGACUUCGAUUUCAAAACUUGCAUACGCAUUCCAUUGGAGCUACUUCUCAAAAAGUACAACACCAUCUACAAGUAUACACUUAGCAUCGAGGAAAUCUCGAAAUGGGUUAAUCAAAGGUGAUCAUUUCUAAUAAAGACCCUAGAGUCGGGGGAACCACAUCUAGGGGGUUCUCCUAAACAGGGGCAAAAAUUUCAAGGAGCACAGGGGCAUACAAUCGAACAUCCUAUUAACUAGGGGCAGUCUUCCUAAGGUUCAAUCGACUUGGGGCACAUCUCAAAGCAAUCUCAAACAGGGGCAUGUCAGACAUGGGAAGAAUUCAAAUUCAGAGGAUAGAUCACUAUGGAUAACCUUCCAUGACCUGGAGAUCAGGGGCACACCCUUCAAUCUAAACAUCGAAGCAUAUGACAAGGCUAUUCCCUGGGGCACUUCCUUCAUAAGCAUCUUUCUCCAUGAAAAUACUGGGGCAAUGGAUAUCAAAUCCACAAGACACACAACAUAAGGAAAAGGCGUUCUCGCACUUUACAACAACGGACAAAUCUUUCUCCUAACUACGAUCUUCAAAGUUCAAACAAAACAGGUAUUGGGAAAUCGCGCUAGCAUCACACCCCACCUUAUCAAACAAACCUGCAACUCCAGCAAGCUAUAUACGCUUUGGUUAUCAACAACCUACCAUUGGAGCAUCAUACAAAUACAUACAAAUCAUGCAUUGCAUAUAUUGGCUGAUACAUUACACCGUAACUCUUUAUGUGGUCUUCUUUAAGACGAAUCUCACGAUCCUUUCUAGAAGUUUCUUCAAGCUGUCUUAUGCAAGACAAAUUAUCACCAUUUCCAAGAACCUCUUUAGAUAGUCUUCUUUAAGACAUUACUUUUCUAAGCACCUUUUCAGGUAGCCUUCUUCGAGACAUUCUUGUCCUAAGCACCUUUUCAGGUAGUCCCUUUCAAAAAAAAAAAAAAAACAAUUCGUCAUCCCUCUCAAGAACCUCUUCAGGUAGUCUUCUUUAAGACAUCUUUCAACCUUUUCAGGUAGUCAUCUUUAAAGACAUUCUUCAUCCCUUGCUAAGAACUUUUUCAAGUAAUCUUCUUUAAGACAAAUUUCUAUCUACGCUAAGAGCCUUUACAGGUGGUCUUCUCUAAGACAAAUUGCUACCAUGUCGAAAAAUCAUUUCAGAUAGUCUUCUUUAAGACAAACAUUCACUUCCAUUCCAAAAAGACCUUUUCAGGUAAUCUUACAGAAGACAUUACUUCGUUCCACUCAUUACGUCAACCAAACAUACGCAUAAGCAUACAUGAACAUUACAAAGCCAGCAUAAGCAUAGUCAGGGUAUAAGUGCAAGCAUGGAGUAAACAAGCUCAAUGGGUUUAAGGAGAUAAAAUCUCGGGAUUGCAUCAUCAUUAGCAUACAUACAUACGCAUUAGCAUACGCAUAUCAUCUAGUGCAUUUACACAUCACAAAAAGCCCAAUUUCUAUUGGCAGUCCAAACCAUCAUUAAACCUAGUUCCCGUCUGGUAAUCAGUUCCCGUCUCACUAUUACAUCAAAAUUCAAAUCAUACUACAAAAGCCUAGUUUCCAACCCUCGUGUUGUGAUUGGUGUAUUUUCUCCGACCCUCGAGUCGUGAGUUUCCAAACAGGUGAAUCUUUUCCAUGCAGGUAAGUUUGCUAGAACUAUAGCAGGCGAUCACUCUUAUGCAGGUACGCUUGUCAGAACUAUAGCAAGCAAUCCUAUUGGGGUCCAAACUGCGAUGUAACUUGCCAGAACUAUGGUAAGUGAGAGGUACAAACUGCGAUGUAGCUUACCAGAACUAUGGUAAGUGAGAGAUACAAACUGCGAGUAGCUUACCAGAACUAUGGUAAGUGAGAGAUACAAACUGCGAGUAGCUUACCAGCACUAUGGUAAGUGAGAGAUACAAACCGCGAGUAGCUUAUCAGCACUAUGGUAAGUGAGAGAUAUAAACUGCGAGUAGCUUACUAGCACUAUGGUAAGUGAGAGAUAUAAACUGCGAGUAGCUUACCAGCACUAUGGUAAGUGAGAGAUACAAACCGCGAGUAGCUUACCAGCACUAUGGUAAGUGAGAGAUAUAAACUGCGAGUAGCUUACCAGCACUAUGGUAAGUGAGAGAUACAAACCGCGAGUAGCUUAUCAGCACUAUGGUAAGUGAGAGAUACAAACUGCGACGUAGCUUGCCAGCACUAUGGUAAGUGAGAAAUCCACAAACUGCGAGUAGCUCACCAGCACUAUGGUAAGUGAGAGAUAUAAACUGCGAGUAGCUUACCAGCACUAUGGUAAGUGAGAGAUACAAACCGCGAGUAGCUUAUCAGCACUAUGGUAGGUGAGAGAUACAAACUGCGACGUAGCUUGCCAGCACUAUGGUAAGUGAGAAAUCCACAAACUGCGAGUAGCUUACCAGCACUAUGGUAAGUGAGAAAUUCACAAACUGCGAGUAGCUUACCAGCACUAUGGUAAGUGAGGGGUUCACAAACUGCGGAGGCUUGCUGGCCAUAGCAAGCCAAUUACACAAUCAACAGAAGGUCCUCGCUAUUCCUUUUCAGGAACCUUUCCAGGAAGUCUUCUUCAAGACGUAUUCCAUCCUUUCUAGGAACUUUUCCAAGCACACAAGAUGUUUCAAACGAUUCCUCAACUGGGUUUAUCACGUUAGUCCCUCGGCAGUGAUACCGUCCAAAACAUCACCCAUAACAAUCAAAGGUGAUAUCUUUCUUUUCAGAAUUACUAACACACUUCGAUUUACAUAAACUAACAAUCAUGCAUCAUUUCAAUUUACAUACUUCAUUCAUACAUAUUGCAUAUACAUACACCGCUCUCAUUUAUUUUGAGAAGCUCACUGCAUCAUGCAUCGCAUGCAUCAUAAGCAUUGCAUAAAGUCAAAACUGCCUUUUCAGGCCACGCUACGAUCAAAAUGCGUAGCUCCUCAAAAAAGAAGGAGCAUCUGCUUCGCAAAAAAAAAAGAGAGAGAGAAAAAAGAGAAGAAGGAAUGAUAUUUACCCUGGGUGGCAUCUGUAAGCCCAUCUCCCUCAGAAGAUGCAAAUUUUUGGGCAUUUCAGUGUCCAAUCAUCUUCUACCUUUAGAUCACGAUAGGCAGACGUGCCUAUCUGACUCUCCAGGUUUAAGAAGAUUGAACAGGGGCAGCUGUCAUACCCCAAAAUUUGCCUGAUCGAAUCUACGUCCGUUAACCCAUCAAGGUUCAGAAUUAAGAGCCAUAGGGUUUGACAUUUCUAUUGUCAAACUCGCUCUCUUAUAAAUCAGGUUGAGUUAAAACAAGGGCGUAAUUAACAGGUGUUUUGGGAUCUAAACAAUUGGGCCCAAUUACCACAAGGGUUCUAUUGUUUUUGAAUAUAAUUGCUUUUACUAACAUUUUUUUGUUUUUUUGGUUAUUAUGGUAAUUUUAUUAACUGUUAUUAUCCAUUACCAUUCUAUUAACUAACUAAUAUUAUUAUUUAAUAUUAAUAUAAUUAGAAUCAUUACUAUUAAUUUUAAUAUUAGUAUUAUUAGGAUUUUUAUCCUUUUAUUAUUUUUAUUAAUUAGUUGGGCAAUAGGCCCAUUAGAUUAGAAAACCCUAAUUUGACUAAGAUAAAUAGGGUGCUUUUUUUGUCAAUUAGGGGAGGCCAAUUUUCAUUCACCAGACAUUUGUACAUACACACAAAAGAAGCCACGAAUCCUAAUACUUUGUCUCCCUCGUGAAAAACUCUAUAGUGAAAACACCAACAAUUGUUACCACCAUUAACAACCUCUAUCAACUAUAUUCUUCCCCAUUUUCCUUCAAUUCUACUACCAUAAAAUUCCAAAACAAAAAAAAAACAACAGCAAGCUAAAGGAACCAAGGGAACAACCAUUACCGAAUCAAAAAAACAACAAGAAGAAAAGUGGCGGUCGGGCAUCUUCAUCAACCUGGAACCAUUCGCACCUCACUUUCAUCAACCUCACAACCACAGGAGAAACUGAAAAAACUAGUAACAAUAAAAAAAAGCAGAACAACAAAGACGACACAGAAGUUUUGGAUCCAAACUCGUCCGCCACGAGAAGCAACCCAAACGCGAUUCACCCUACGGCGUCGGAGUCCGAACACACCAACCUGUGUCUACGAUGAAAGGCGACCACACGAUGUCCUCAGCUUUUCACCACUUGAUUCGCACACUUCCGAUUUCUCCACCGGUAACCUUGAUCUUCUCUUGAUCUAUUAUUUGUUUUAAAUCAAGUAUUGUUUUGCGAAUAGGAGUAGGAUAAAGAACGAAGGAAUCGAUGGCAAGGGAGAAGAAGGUCUAGCAUGUGUGUUGAUUUUGACUGGAAGUUGCGAUUGAAAGCGAAAGAAAGGGAAUAUGUAUGGUACGGUUUCUGGAUAUUGACCUUUCUUUUUUUUCCUUUUACAUAUUCGAUAUCAUUAUAUUUUUUAUUUUUUUUGUAAAAUAAGUAAAAUUUGAAAGUAGUUUGGAUUAGGUCCACUCCUGUAUUAACGUUCCAUGCCUUCCGCAAUUCUAACUAGUUUUUUUUUAUUCAUUUAUUUCAUUGUUAUUACUAACUUCUUAACAGCAAAAGAACACACACUCUUUUAUUAACUCAUUCACAAAAGCCAAAUUCCAUGGAUACAGAGGGGAAACAAAUGCAAGUUGUUUACCAAGUAAAACACUGCCUCGGCCAAACGUAAAAUAUCAACUGGCAGUCUAGGUCGUCUAGAAAUUUGAUCAAACGUUAAAGCAGUGCUAAUUUGGUUUUAAAUAAGGUUUGUGUCUUAUUAAUUUAUUUAUCAUUUUAUUUUAUUUAUAUAGGUUAGCUCCUUAUGUUAUUCUUAGUUAAACUAUUUUAUUUAGGUUAAUUUAGAGAAUUAAGUGUGAUUAAUUUAUUUUGAUAAUCUUUUCCGUCAUUUAGUUUUCAUGAUUUAUUUGUAGUCAUGUUACUAACUUUAAGAAUAUAAAAAAGGUUUUACUCCAUUAAAAAACAAAUAUAAAAAAUAAUCAUUUUCUUUUUAGGUUAUAAUUAAACUAAUUUAUUUUUAUUAGGAUUAAGAUAUAAAAUUAGGAUUAGGUUAAUGAUUAGGGUUUUAGGAUUCAUUCUCCCGAUUAUUUCGAUUACUCGAUUUAAUUAAUUUGUUUUAACUAUUAAAUCAUAGAAACCCUAGAAAGGUUGCAUGCCUUAGGGUUUGCCCAAUCCCACUGCCCAUUUGGCAAAGAACAUUAAUCCUUUAUUUAAAUUCUCUCCUCGACCUGACUAAAUCUAUUAGUCGCAUUAGACGAGAGAUAAAAAUUAAUUAUACAUCUAAAACACAUUCAAUUUGCUGCCCGCGACGAUCAAUCUAUCGAUCUGAGUAACCAGCAAUGCCCAUUAAUCUGUUAGCUAUACUGAUCAAAUCUAUUGAUCACCGCAUCUAACAGUGCCAUAUUAAAGCAGGGUUGUACGCCCAAAACCACAUCUAAAACACUAAACCACGAUACUACGGAUUUACAUCCUUUCAAACACUGCGAUGUUCAAAACUACGAUAAGGUAAUUCAAAAUACCUUCGAACUUCGCAUUUCAAAACAACUUCAAACACCUCUAUAAUCAAAUUCAAUUCUAAGGCAUACAACCCUGUGCCCGAACUACGUUGACUCUGAUUCUCCAUAAGGAGAUACGUAGGCACUUGGCAACAAGGCGAGUCCCCCUCCCAAAAAUCUCAAUUCUCCCCUUCCUUCAAACCCUAAUCAUGUCAAUGAUUAAAAUUAUUAACCCUAUUCUGUUUGUCACUUUUCUUUAUAUUUUGCCACAAACCUUCAUCUUUGAAAUGUUAGCCUUUAGGAAAGGGUUGAGGGUGCCUAACACCUUCCCUCGACCUGAAUAUAGUAUCUUACCCAGAUCUCUCAACUACGUAAGGUUUCCUAUUCGCCUUGGUAGAAUAGGUGGCGACUCUCUAAGUUUAAAUUUUAGGCAGGUUGCUACACAAGACUGUGGAUCAAGAGUUGCAACACUUGAUAUAAGAUUUUACUUUUUUCUAUCAUAUAUGAUUUGGUAAAGGAAUGUAGCAUUGUGAUCAUAAUUUCAGAGACCUUUUAACCUUAUAGACGAUAUAUACUAUCGGAUAAGUAGAGACUUUAAAAUAUGUUAUAUCCCUCGUCGCAUUGGCAAGAACAUGGAGAACCGAAGGCGUUACCGACGACAACAGGUCGUACUUUUUAUAUAAAUAAACCUUAGAAUCUUGGAUUUUUACUUAUUAGGAGGAAAAAUUGUUGUUAACUUUGUCACCCUGAAUGAUAACUUCUUUUCCCUUGUUGGUUGUGUAUGGAUUGGAAAGUGAGUUUAAGUAAUUUGAUGUUGAUUGUGCCCUUAAUGCUACUGUAAACACGUGCUGGUAUACAAGAAGUACAUUUUCUUUCGUUCAAUCCUACCGAUAAGCGGACAAAAAUUACUUAUACUGAUCAAGUGGGUAAAAUGCAUAGAGUAAGCCAAGGUGCACCAGAACAGCAUAAUACCAAACACUACUACAGAAUUAGAAGUGGUGAUUCUUGAGAAUUUUUGUUUGAAGCACCUCCCGAAGUUGAACCAGAUGCCCCUUACAAAUUUGGGAUCAUUGUUGAUGAAGGAAGAUGAGAAAGACAUGAAUGCUUUCAAGAAUGUUGUUCCUUUGAAAUUGAGGAUCUUGUUCCUGUUCGGAAUGCAAAGAAGCAUAUUUGGGGGCAUGGAUUAGACGUGUACAGGCAGGCGUGCUCUACAGAAUAAUACUGAAGAAAAGGUUUCACAGUUCCCAAAUCAUUGCGCAUGACUGGCACAACAGGAACAGAAAUCACUGAAUUUGAAAGCAUUUACAAGCUUAAAGUUACAAUCGUGCCUACAAACAAACCUAUGAUAAGAAAGGAUGAAUUUGAUUUAGUUUUUAGGGCUACUACAGGGAAAUGGCGUGCAGUUGUGGCGUAAAUCUCUAGAAUGAACAUAACUAGUCGUGGGACGGAUAUAAUCCUUGGCGGAAAUGUUGAGUUUAUGGCACGUCUGAAGCUUCGUGAGAUACUGAUGUCAAGGUAUGGUGGAGCUUUAAUUGGUAUACAUUUUCACCCAUUUCUAUUGUUUCCUCAGGCCUACAAUAAUAGGCUUGCAGGAUUUUGGACUUCUAUUGGAGUGGUCCAACAAUAUUCAACUGUGAUACAUGUAAACAAAUAUUUCAAGUAUCUAACUCAUUAAGCCCCCCAUCGGGUACUUUUGCAUCCUCUGACAUUAUUAGUUUGCGAUGAUGAACAGUAUGCAUAGGAUUUUAACUUUGUUAUAGGUUCAAUGAAAUGCCAGAGUUUUGCUAGUUUCAUUGGUGUCACAGUUUGUCAGUUAGUUCUAAUAAGCUUGGACAAUUGGAGCGCAACAAAAAAAGAGGUUGUGGGGGUUUAUAAACAAAACAUUUGGAAUGCAUGCAUCUAUAAAUUUGGCUAUGCAAAUGUCCUCUAUAUAUGUUAUGAUAUUUGUAAACAAUUGGAUUUGGUUUAAAAUGUUAUUUGGUAUUGUUGGAUAAUAUGUAUGCAAUGAGUAACUUAAAAUUAUACGAUCUUUUUAAAAGUGGGGUUAGUAACACGGGGGAUAAAAUUAUUAUGAUUAUUAUGACCAGGUUUAUGAUCCGGUUUGUAAUCGUACCUCAUUUUGUGAAACUUAUUCUGAGGUGAUUGAUUAGCUCUCCUUUUUGUUUCUAUACUUGAUAAUAAUGUAUGUGGUCAAAUCUGGCAUAGGUGAUUGAUUUUGUUGUGUUAAAGUUGAUUUUUAUCAUUCUUCCAUGAUUCUGGCAACUUUUCAAUGA